AUGAACGCUGGCGGCGUGCCUAAUACAUGCAAGUCGAGCGAACAGAUGAGGAGCUUGCUCCUCUGACGUUAGCGGCGGACGGGUGAGUAACACGUGGAUAAUCUACCUAUAAGACUGGGAUAACUUCGGGAAACCGGAGCUAAUACCGGAUAAUAUAUUGAACCGCAUGGUUCAAUAGUGAAAGAUGGUUUUGCUGUCACUUAUAGAUGGAUCCGCGCCGCAUUAGCUAGUUGGUAAGGUAACGGCUUACCAAGGCAACGAUGCGUAGCCGACCUGAGAGGGUGAUCGGCCACACUGGAACUGAGACACGGUCCAGACUCCUACGGGAGGCAGCAGUAGGGAAUCUUCCGCAAUGGGCGAAAGCCUGACGGAGCAACGCCGCGUGAGUGAUGAAGGUCUUCGGAUCGUAAAACUCUGUUAUUAGGGAAGAACAAAUGUGUAAGUAACUAUGCACGUCUUGACGGUACCUAAUCAGAAAGCCACGGCUAACUACGUG
rnacentral:rRNA from 1 species